UACAUGGGGUGCAAACGUUGCUCGGAAUUAUUGGGCGUAAAGCGCACGUAGGCGGUUCGUUAAGUCGGAUGUGAAAGCCCUCGGCUCAACUGAGGAAGUGCACCCGAAACUGGCGAGCUUGAGUACGAAAGAGGAUCGCGGAAUUCCUGGUGUAGCGGUGAAAUGCGCAGAUAUCAGGAGGAACACCAGCGGCGAAGGCGGCGCUCUGGGCCGGAACUGACGCUGGAG
rnacentral:rRNA from 1 species